GACGAACGCUGGCGGCGUGCUUAACACAUGCAAGUCGAACGAUGAACCCGGAGCUUGCUCCGGUGGAUUAGUGGCGAACGGGUGAGUCACACGUGAGUAACCUGCUCUUGACUCUGGGAUAACUGCGGGAAACUGUAGCUAAUAUCGCAUCCGACCCUCGGCGGCAUCGCCAGGGGGUGGAAAGAAUUUCGGUCAAGGAUGGACGCGGGGCUGAUCAGGUAGUUGGUGAGGUAACGGCUAACAAAGGCGCCGAGGGGUAGCCGGCCUGAGAGGGUGACCGGCCACACUGGGACUGAGACACGGCCCAGACUCCUACGGGAGGCAGCAGUGGGGAAUAUUGCACAAUGGGCGCAAGCCUGAUGCAGCAACGCCGCGUGAGGGAUGACGGCCUUCGGGUUGUAAACCUCUUUUAGUAGGGAAGAAGCGAAAGUGACGGUACCUGCAGAAAAAGCACCGGCUAACUACGUGCCAGCCGCCGCCGUAA
rnacentral:rRNA from 1 species